rnacentral:tRNA from 1 species
GAGGGUGUAGCACAGUGGUAGAGUGUGUGCUUAGCAUGCACGAGGUCCUGGGUUCAAUCCCCAAUACCUUCA